AUUCUUUUGACAUUUUCCUGCCUUGGUCUUUUUAAACAUUACCAUCUUACCUCUCUAAUAAACAAACCAUGGUAAAAUUCAGAAGAAGACUGUGUACUUGGAAAUCUCCACAAGAUGGAAAGGCAACAUCGAAAGAAAUAAAAUAGAGGAAAACAUCCACUUAUCCAGGAGCUGACGUGCCAUCCGUUCAUAAUCCUUUAUUAGCGAAUAUAUGUUGCAGAACAUCAAUGAAAACGCUUGGGCGAAGGCAAUUUGCUGUGGAGAAACUUGAUUACCAAAAUACAUGCACAGCUGUCAAGCAAGAUUUAAAUCGUGAAUUAAACAGGGAGAAAGUAGAGAACAUAUGGAGUUCUAUAAAAAAUACAUUAAAACAUAUUGCUACAAAAAACCUAAAAAUAAAGAAUGGAUGGCAAACGA